rnacentral:rRNA from 1 species
GAUGAACGCUAGCGGCAGGCUUAAUACAUGCAAGUCGAGGGACAGCACAGGUAGCAAUACUGGGUGGUAACCGGCAAACGGGUGCGGAACACGUACACAACCUUCCUUUAAGUGGGGGAUAGCCCAGAGAAAUUUGGAUUAAUACCCCGUAAUAUAGUUGAAUGGCAUCAUUUGAUUAUUAUAGCUACGGCGCUUAAUGAUGGGUGUGCGGCUGAUUAGAUAGUUGGCGGGGUAACGGCCCACCAAGUCUACGAUCAGUAGCUGAUGUGAGAGCAUGAUCAGCCACACGGGCACUGAGACACGGGCCCGACUCCUACAGGAGGCAGCAGUAAGGAAUAUUGGUCAAUGGACGCAAGUCUGAACCAGCCAUGCCGCGUGAGGGAUUAAGGUCCUCUGGAUUGUAAACUUCUUUUAUUUGGGACGAAAAAGGGCCUUUCUAGGUCAACUGACGGUACCAGAUGAAUAAGCACCGGCUAACUCCGUGCCAGCCGCCGCAGUAAUAC